GUGCCAGCAGCCGCGGUAAGACGUAGGGCGCGAGCGUUGUCCGGAUUUAUUGGGCGUAAAGAGCUCGUAGGCGGCUUGUCGCGUCGUCCGUGAAAACCUGUGGCUUAACUACAGGCUUGCGGUCGAUACGGGCAGGCUAGAGUGCGGCAGGGGAGACUGGAAUUCCUGGUGUAGCGGUGAAAUGCGCAGAUAUCAGGAGGAACACCGGUGGCGAAGGCGGGUCUCUGGGCCGCUACUGACGCUGAGGAGCGAAAGCGUGGGGAGCGAACAGGAUUAGAUACCCUGGUAGUCC
rnacentral:rRNA from 1 species